rnacentral:rRNA from 1 species
CAGCAGCCGCGGUAAUGCGUAGGUGGCAAGCGUUGUCCGGAAUUAUUGGGCGUAAAGGGCUCGCAGGCGGUUUCUUAAGUCUGAUGUGAAAGCCCCCGGCUCAACCGGGGAGGGUCAUUGGAAACUGGGAAACUUGAGUGCAGAAGAGGAGAGUGGAAUUCCACGUGUAGCGGUGAAAUGCGUAGAGAUGUGGAGGAACACCAGUGGCGAAGGCGACUCUCUGGUCUGUAACUGACGCUGAGGAGCGAAAGCGUGGGGAGCGAACAGGAUUAGAUACCCCAGUAGUCCCUGUCUCUUAUAC